GAUUAAGUUAUUAAGGGCGCACGGUGGAUGCCUUGGCACUAGAAGCCGAUGAAGGACGUUACUAACGACGAUAUGCUUUGGGGAGCUGUAAGUAAGCUUUGAUCCAGAGAUUUCCGAAUGGGGAAACCCAGCAUGAGUUAUGUCAUGUUAUCGAUAUGUGAAUACAUAGCAUAUCAGAAGGCACACCCGGAGAACUGAAACAUCUUAGUACCCGGAGGAAGAGAAAGAAAAUUCGAUUCCCUUAGUAGCGGCGAGCGAAACGGGAAGAGCCCAAACCAACAAGCUUGCUUGUUGGGGUUGUAGGACACUCUGUACGGAGUUACAAAGGACGACAUUAGACGAAUCAUCUGGAAAGAUGAAUCAAAGAAGGUAAUAAUCCUGUAGUCGAAAAUGUUGUCUCUCUUGAGU
rnacentral:rRNA from 1 species